CCUACGGGUGGCUGCAGUGAGGAAUAUUGGUCAAUGGGCGGGAGCCUGAACCAGCCAAGUCGCGUGAGGGAUGACGGCCCUAUGGGUUGUAAACCUCUUUUGCCGGGGAGCAAAGUGCCGCACGUGUGCGGUUUGGAGAGUACCCGGAGAAAAAGCAUCGGCUAACUCCGUGCCAGCAGCCGCGGUAAUACGGAGGAUGCGAGCGUUAUCCGGAUUUAUUGGGUUUCAAGGGUGCGCAGGCGGAUUUUUAAGUCAGCGGUCAAAUCGUGGGGCUCAACCCCAUCCAGCCGUUGAAACUGGGGAUCUAGAGUGUGCGAGAGGUAUGCGGAAUGCGUGGUGUAGCGGUGAAAUGCAUAGAUAUCACGCAGAACCCCGAUUGCGAAGGCAGCAUACCGGCGCCCUACUGACGCUGAGGCACGAAAGUGCGGGGAUCGAACAGGAUUAGAUACCCGGGUAGUC
rnacentral:rRNA from 1 species